UACGGAGGGGGCUAGCGUUGCUCGGAAUUACUGGGCGUAAAGGGCGCGUAGGCGGCCUUGUAAGUCAGGCGUGAAAGGCCCGGGCUCAACCCGGGAACCGCGCUUGAGACUGCGAGGCUCGAGUUCGGGAGAGGGCAGUGGAAUUCCCAGUGUAGAGGUGAAAUUCGUAGAUAUUGGGAAGAACACCAGUGGCGAAGGCGGCUGCCUGGACCGAUACUGACGCUAAGGCGCGAAAGCGUGGGGAGCAAACAGG
rnacentral:rRNA from 1 species